UGGGGAAUAUUGCAUAUGGGCGAAAGCCUGAUGCAGCAACGCCGCGUGAGGGAUGACGGCCUUCGGGUUGUAAACCUCUUUUAGCAGGGAAGAAGCGAAAGUGACGGUACCUGCAGAAAAAGCGCCGGCUAACUACGUGCCAGCAGCCGCGGUAAUACGUAGGUG
rnacentral:rRNA from 1 species